rnacentral:hammerhead_ribozyme from 1 species
GUCCAUCUGACGAGUCCCAAAUUGGACGAAAUGCGCAUCCUGGAU